UACGGAGGGGGCUAGCGUUGUUCGGAAUUACUGGGCGUAAAGCGCACGUAGGCGGUGGCGCAUGUCAGAUGUGAAAGCCCUGGGCUUAACCUAGGAAUUGCAUUUGAAACUGCGUCGCUAGAGGCCGGAAGAGGGUAGUGGAAUUCCCAGUGUAGAGGUGAAAUUCGUAGAUAUUGGGAAGAACACCGGUGGCGAAGGCGGCUACCUGGUCCGGUUCUGACGCUGAGGUGCGAAAGCGUGGGGAGCAAAC
rnacentral:rRNA from 1 species